rnacentral:rRNA from 1 species
AUGGCCAGGCCGGCGAUGGAUCGAUUGAAGAGGCUGUGCAAGGUGCUCGGGUCCAACUACCAGGAGCGGCUGGAUGAGCUGGGGAUAGCGGCGGGGCACAAGGAGAUGGACGAGAAAACAAGCAAGGCCCUCGAGCAAACAAUCGGGGAACUCGAGAAAGCCAAGGAAGCCAGGUUCUCCGAGCUUCAAGCCUUGGGGUUGAAGCUUCGAGACCUGUGGAAGUUCCACAAUACUGGUCCAGAAAAUAUCUUGGAGUUUGCCGAAGCCUUUGCUUGCAUAGAUGCUGAAUCCGCAAAUGAAUUGACCAAUGAGAAGUCACUUUCCAUGGAACUUAUCAAUAAAGCAACUGAAGAGAUUAACAUCUUGGAGGCUUCUAUGGUUGCCAAACAGAAGAAGAUAUACUUGGGUAAAAAACAGAAAUUGCUGAAAUUGCUUGAAGAAACCCACAUGGUGCCUGCUGACAUGAAAUUUGAUCCCAAGAAAAAAGAAUCUGAUUUCCCCAAGGCAAUAUCAGAUUUGAAGAUUUUGAUUAAACAAGUUAAAGUACAAAUUCUUGAAAGAAAAGAUAUUGUCAUGCGAAUUGAACUACUCCAGCAUCCAGUGAAUAAUUCACUCUCUGUGAAAACAUCUGAAAGGCUACUUCGCUCUUUGAAGAAUUUGGUCCUCCUUGAAGACACAUUUCCAUUUGAUGGCAAGGAUGUGAAGGUUGUUGUAAAUGCAAUUGAAGAUGAAAUGACACCAGCUUCAACAAGACCUGCGCUUCCAGUGAAGAAGAGGAUGAGUGCUCGGCUGACUGAGUUGAGGGAUAAGAAGGAAUCCAAUGCUGACCUGCCUCCCCCUCCCUAUCCUUCACGAGUUCGCGAUGGGAACAGGGAACGCAGGAAGGGGGUAUGGGGCAAGGAAUCCAAGAGGUGA